rnacentral:tRNA from 1 species
CUGUAGCUCAGUUGGUAGAGCAUGGCACUUUCAAUGCCAGGAUGGUGUGUUCGAUUCCCAG